AGUUGCCGGAGCAUUGCACAACA
rnacentral:miRNA from 1 species